AGCCGCUUGCCCUCUACCUUCGUGUCGACUCCGCCGGAAAACCCAGAUCUGAAGCGUUGCCUCGCCGUUCGUGACCCGGCACCGUCAUUUUCUCAGUCAGCUGGAUCCGCCUCCCACCAGCGAUGCGCCGCUCGACGACGAGCUUCAAAUGCCCGCCUUCCUCUCUCUGACCCACGAAUCUAUAGCUUGCUGCCUCUGGUUGCGAGCCGCUGCUGCCUAGGUUGUGCGACUCCACUCCGACACCACCGUCAAGCAGGAUGUCGUCGCCACUCACUGGAUCUACUAGUUUGGAUACAAAGUUUGGAGGCAUUUUAAAGUCUUUUGAGUGCUACCGACAAGAUUAUGAAUUUCGUCAAUUUUGGUUCAGUUUGGACAAAUAAAUAGAACUUUGGAAAUGGCCUCGAACCAAGUCGUGACUUCGGGUGGAUUCAAAGUCUUCCAAGAGUUGUAAGAAGGUUAAUUACUUGGGUUAAUUUGGGACCAAAUUUGAGGUAAGGGUAGAGAUGCGCCGGCGAUGGCAUAACGGAAUUCAUGACCAAGCCACUGGGACUAGUUUUUACGCUUCCGCAUCAUGAGAUUUAGAGUUCUUUUCAUGUUUCCCUUCAUGUUUAGUUUUGAUGUUUGAAACUUAUUAUUAAGAAUUAUUUUUCAUAUGUAUUUAUUA